rnacentral:rRNA from 1 species
AACGAACGCUGGCGGCAUGCCUAACACAUGCAAGUCGAACGAGACCUUCGGGUCUAGUGGCGCACGGGUGCGUAACGCGUGGGAACCUGCCCUUAGGUUCGGAAUAACUCCCCGAAAGGGGUGCUAAUACCGGAUAAUGUCUUCGGACCAAAGAUUUAUCGCCUUUGGAUGGGCCCGCGUUGGAUUAGCUAGUUGGUAGGGUAAAAGCCUACCAAGGCGACGAUCCAUAGCUGGUCUGAGAGGAUGAUCAGCCACACUGGGACUGAGACACGGCCCAGACUCCUACGGGAAGCAGCAGUGGGGAAUAUUGGACAAUGGGCGAAAGCCUGAUCCAGCAAUGCCGCGUGAGUGAUGAAGGCCUUAGGGUUGUUAAGCUCUUUUACCCGGGAUGAUAAUGACAGUACCGGGAGAAUAAGCUCCGGCUAACUCCGUG